rnacentral:rRNA from 1 species
UAGGGAAUCUUCGGCAAUGGACGAAAGUCUGACCGAGCAACGCCGCGUGAGUGAAGAAGGUUUUCGGAUCGUAAAACUCUGUUGUUAGAGAAGAACAAGGACGUUAGUAACUGAACGUCCCCUGACGGUAUCUAACCAGAAAGCCACGGCUAACUACGUGCCAGCAGCCGCGGUAAUACGUAGGUGGCAAGCGUUGUCCGGAUUUAUUGGGCGUAAAGCGAGCGCAGGCGGUUUCUUAAGUCGGAUGUGAAAGCCCCCGGCUCAACCGGGGAGGGUCAUUGGAAACUGGGAGACUUGAGUGCAGAAGAGGAGAGUGGAAUUCCAUGUGUAGCGGAGAAAUGCGUAGAUAUAUGGAGGAACACCAGUGGCGAAGGCGGCUCUCUGGUCUGUAACUGACGCUGAGGCUCGAAAGCGUGGGGAGCAAACAGG